rnacentral:rRNA from 1 species
UACGGGGGGGGCAUGCGUUGUCCGGAAUCAUUGGGCGUAAAGAGCGUGUAGGCGGCUCGAUAAGUCUGCUGUGAAAGUCCAGGGCUCAACCCUGGAAGGCCGGUGGAAACUGUCGGGCUAGAGUCCGGAAGAGGCGAGUGGAAUUCCCGGUGUAGCGGUGAAAUGCGCAGAUAUCGGGAGGAACACCAAUGGCGAAGGCAGCUCGCUGGGACGGUACUGACGCUGAGACGCGAAAGCGUGGGGAGCGAACAGG